GAUGAACGCUGGCGGCGUGCUUAACACAUGCAAGUCGAACGAUGAAGCCCAGCUUGCUGGGUGGAUUAGUGGCGAACGGGUGAGUAACACGUGAGUAACCUGCCCUUAACUCUGGGAUAAGCCUGGGAAACUGGGUCUAAUACCGGAUAGGAGCGUCCACCGCAUGGUGGGUGUUGGAAAGAUUUAUCGGUUUUGGAUGGACUCGCGGCCUAUCAGCUUGUUGGUGAGGUAAUGGCUAACCAAGGCGACGACGGGUAGCCGGCCUGAGAGGGUGACCGGCCACACUGGGACUGAGACACGGCCCAGACUCCUACGGGAGGCAGCAGUGGGGAAUAUUGCACAAUGGGCGCAAGCCUGAUGCAGCGACGCCGCGUGAGGGAUGACGGCCUUCGGGUUGUAAACCUCUUUCAGUAGGGAAGAAGCGAAAGUGACGGUACCUGCAGAAGAAGCACCGGCUAACUACGUG
rnacentral:rRNA from 1 species